CGGUGGAGUAUGUGGUUUAAUUCGAUGCAACGCGGAGAACCUACCUGGUCUUGACAUCCCGGAGACCCUUAGGAAACUAGGGGGUGGCUUCCAUCUGGAAGAAUCUGGAGACAGGUGCUGCAUGGCUGUCGUCAGCUCGUGUCGUGAGAUGUUGGGUUAAGUCCCGCAACGAGCGCAACCCUUGCCUUUAGUUGCCAGCAGUUCGGCUGGGCACUCUAAAGGGACUGCCGGUGUUAAACCGGAGGAAGGUGGGGAUGACGUCAAGUCCUCAUGGCCUUUAUGACCAGGGCUACACACGUACUACAAUGGCCGAUACAAAGGGCAGCGACACUGCGAGGUGAAGCCAAUCCCGUAAAAUCGGUCUCAGUCCGGAUUGGAGUCUGCAACUCGACUCCAUGAAGUUGGAAUCGCUAGUAAUCGUGGAUCAGCAUGCCACGGUGAAUACGUUCCCGGGCCUU
rnacentral:rRNA from 1 species